GAAGCGCUGAAAGGGUUGGACGCGUUGCCGCCUGUCGUCGGCGGGCGGGAGCGUCAGGACAGCGUCCGCGCAGGGUUGGAGGCGCUGGACGCUUUGCC
rnacentral:tRNA from 1 species